rnacentral:rRNA from 1 species
UAACAGGAAGUGCUUGCACUUCGCUGACGAGUGGCGGACGGGUGAGUAAUGCUUGGGAACUUGCCUUUGCGAGGGGGAUAACAGUUGGAAACGACUGCUAAUACCGCAUAAUGUCUACGGACCAAACGGGGCUUAGGCUCCGGCGCAAAGAGAGGCCCAAGUGAGAUUAGCUAGUUGGUAAGGUAAAGGCUUACCAAGGCAACGAUCUCUAGCUGUUCUGAGAGGAAGAUCAGCCACACUGGAACUGAGACACGGUCCAGACUCCUACGGGAGGCAGCAGUGGGGAAUAUUGCACAAUGGGGGAAACCCUGAUGCAGCCAUGCCGCGUGUGUGAAGAAGGCCUUCGGGUUGUAAAGCACUUUCAGUUGUGAGGAAAAGUUAGUAGUUAAUACCUGCUAGCCGUGACGUUAACAACAGAAGAAGCACCGGCUAACUCCGUGCCAGCAGCCGCGGUAAUACGGAGGGUGCGAGCGUUAAUCGGAAUUACUGGGCGUAAAGCGCACGCAGGCGGUUUGUUAAGCUAGAUGUGAAAGCCCCGGGCUCAACCUGGGAUGGUCAUUUAGAACUGGCAGACUAGAGUCUUGGAGAGGGGAGUGGAAUUCCAGGUGUAGCGGUGAAAUGCGUAGAUAUCUGGAGGAACAUCAGUGGCGAAGGCGACUCCCUGGCCAAAGACUGACGCUCAUGUGCGAAAGUGUGGGUAGCGAACAGGAUUAGAUACCCUGGUAGUCCACACCGUAAACGCUGUCUACUAGCUGUUUGU